rnacentral:tRNA from 1 species
UCUAAGGAAAUCGAAAAAUAUUAAAACAAUUAUUUUCGAUUUAAAAAAAACCGGUAAUGUGACCGUCCUCAUUUCUCUUCUUUUAAUGUCUCUAAGGUAAAUCAAGGGGCCGGUAGCUCAGUUGGUUAGAGCGCACCCCUGAUAAGGGUGAGGUCGGAAGUUCGAAUCUUCCUCGGCCCACCAAUAUUAUGGGGGAUUAGCUCAGCUGGGAGAGCGCCUGAUUUGCAUUCAGGAGGUCAGCGGUUCGAUCCCGCUAUCCUCCACCAACUAAUUGAGACAUUCAGCUUUUUUAAAUUGUGAAUAUUAUUAAUAUUAUCAAUAUCUAUAUCCGAUUGUUUUCAGAUGUUUUUUUGAAAACAAUCAAAACAAAAAUUUGAAUUUUACACAGAAAGUUUUUUUCUGUGCAUAAAU